UUCUUCCGGUUCGUCUCGCCCUCUUCCGGCUCUGCUCUGGGGAAGGUGGGGGGCGGAGCAGCCGCAUCCUCGAAACCUCGCGAGCAUUGUUUGGCGAGUCAGCGGCCCCUCCUUCCUGAAGUCGUCACUAUUUGGUGGGAGCACGUGGAAAAGUUGCGCAGGCGUCGUUCUGUCAAAACCUGGUCACCUUAGCGAGCUAGAAUGAUCUCCAAAAACCUCUCCGCCUCAACCGGCUCUUCUCUCUCCUAGUCCUUAACGGGUUUGGGGACCAGUUCCAGGAGGAAGAGUCGAGUUGUCUCUGCUUAAGGACCUGGAGGGGACUCCCAUUUCCCAGAGACUUGAUGGUGGAGAAGUGCUGGUGGUAAUUUCGAAAGAGACAUCUCCGUGCUUGAAAAGAUCACCAGACUAAGUGCUGGGAGCCUGUGAAGUGACUUGGAAGCCAUGGAACCAUCCGUAGAAGAGGAAAUCAGUGUUGAAGAUGAAGCUGUGGAUGAAAGCAUUUUCAAAGACUGCAGCAAGAUUGCUUUCUACAGGCGUCAGAAACAGCAGCUCUUCAAGAAGUCCACUUAUCAGGCAUUACUUGAUUCAGUCACGAUAGGCAAAGACAGCACCAGGUUCCGAAUCAUCAAUGAAGCAACUAAGGUUCCUCUUUUGGCUGAAGUUUUUGGUAUAGAGGGAAAUAUUUUCAGGCUUAAAAUCAAUGAAGAAACUCCCCUGAAGCCCAGGUAUGAAGUUCCCGAUGUCCUCACAAGCAAGCCAAAUACUGUAAGGCUGAUUUCAUGCUCAGGGGAUGCAGGCAGUCUGGUACUGGCAGAUGGAAAAGGAGAUCUGAAGUGUCAUAUCACGGCAAACCCAUUCAAGGUAGACUUGGUGUCUGAACAAGAGGUUGUGAUCAGCAUAAACUCCCUGGGCCAAUUGUACUUUGAGCACCUGCAGAUUCCUCCCCUCAAGCAAAGAGCUACCAGAGAAAAGGAGGAUGCAUCAGUCAACACCUCUCAGGAAAAUCUGGGCCUGUGGGAGGAGAAAUUCAGAAAAUUUGUGGAUGUCAAAGUUAAUGGUCCUGCCUCCAUUGGUUUGGAUUUCUCCUUGCAUGGAUUUGAGCAUCUCUAUGGAAUCCCACAACAUGCAGAAUCACACCAACUUAAAAAUACUGGCGAUGGGGAUGCUUAUCGUCUUUAUAACCUGGAUGUCUAUGGAUAUAAAAUACAUAACAAAAUGGGCAUUUAUGGUUCAAUACCUUAUCUCUUGGCCCACAAACUGGGCAGGACUUUUGGCAUUUUUUGGCUGAAUUCCUCAGAAACACUGGUGGAGAUCAACACAGAGCCUGCAGGAAAGGACACAGUGACCCAGAUGGGCCCAGUUGCUGCCAAACAAAAGGACAGCUCUCGAACCAAUGUACGUUGGAUGUCAGAGAGUGGGAUUAUUGAUGUUUUUCUGCUGACAGGGCCUACACCUUCGGAUGUCUUCAAACAGUACUCGUCCCUUACAGGCACACAAGCCAUGCCCCCACUCUUUUCCUUGGGGUACCAUCAGUGUCGCUGGAACUAUGAAGAUGAGCAGGAUGUAAAGGCAGUGGAUGCAGGAUUUGAUAAACAUGACAUUCCCUAUGAUGUCAUGUGGCUGGACAUAGAGCACACCGAGGGCAAAAGGUAUUUCACCUGGGACAAGAAAAGAUUUCCAAACCCCAAAAAGAUGCAAGCGCUGCUCCAAAACAAAAAACGUAAGCUUGUGGUCAUCAGUGACCCCCACAUCAAGAUUGAUCCUGACUACUCAGUGUAUGCUAAGGCCAAAGAACAGGGCUUCUUUGUGAAGAAUCAUGAAGGAGGAGACUUUGAAGGGAUAUGCUGGCCGGGUCUCUCCUCUUACCUGGAUUUCACCAAUCCCAAGGUCAGAGAGUGGUACUCAGGUCUUUUUACUUUCUCUGUUUAUCAGGGAUCUACUGACAUCCUCUACAUAUGGAAUGACAUGAAUGAGCCCUCUGUCUUUAGAGGACCAGAGCAAACCAUGCCGAAGAAUGCCAUUCAUCAUGGCAACUGGGAGCACAGGGAACUUCAUAAUAUCUAUGGUUUUUAUCAGCAAAAGGCUACUGCAGAAGGACUGAUACAGAGAUCUCAGGGGAAGGAGAGACCCUUUGUGCUCACACGUUCUUUCUUUGCUGGAUCACAAAAUUAUGGUGCAGUUUGGACAGGUGACAACAAAGCAGACUGGAGCUACCUGAAAAUUUCCAUCCCCAUGUUACUCACUCUCAGCAUCACUGGGAUCUCUUUUGUGGAGCUGACGUAGGCGGCUUCGUCGGGAAUCCCUCGCCGGAGCUGCUAGUGCGCUGGUACCAGGCUGGAGCCUACCAGCCCUUCUUCCGCGGCCACGCCAGCAUCAACACCAAGCGGCGCGAACCCUGGCUCUUCGGGGAGCAGCACACCCGGCUCAUCCGAGAGGCCAUCAGACAGCGCUACGCCCUCCUGCCCUAUUGGUAUUCCCUGUUCUACCGUGCGCACGUGGCUUCCGAGCCCAUCAUGAGGCCGUUGUGGGUAGAGUUCCCUGAUGAAUUAGAGACUUUUGGUGUGGAAGAUGAAUACAUGCUGGGAAGUGCUUUAUUGGUUCAUCCCGUCACAGAGCCAAAAGUUACCCUGGUUGAUGUGUUUCUGCCAGGAUCAAGUGAGGUCUGGUAUGACUCUAAGACAUUUGCUCCUUGGGAAGGAGCAUGUACUGUGAAGAUCCCAGUAGGCUUGGACACCACACCAGUGUUUCAGCGAGGCGGGAGCAUCGUGCCGGUAAAGACGACUGUAGGCAAGUCCACGGGCUGGAUGGCUGACGCCCUGUAUGGACUCCGGGUGGCUCUGAGCACUAAGGGUUCUGCUGUAGGUGAACUGUAUCUCGACGAUGGCCAUUCAUUCCAAUACCUCCACCAGAAGCAAUUCUUACACAGGAAGUUUUGUUUCUGUUCAGGUGUUUUGAGCAACAGUUGUGCAGACGAGAGGGGUCAUUAUCCCAGCGAGUGUGUGGUGGAGCAGAUCUUUGUCCUAGGCCUCAAGCAACAGCCAUCUUCCGUGACCACCCACUCACCUGAUGGUAAAGAUCAGCCUGUGGCUUUUACAUAUUGUGCCACAACGGCCACCCUGAGCCUGGAGAAGCUCUCACUGAACAUUGGAACUGACUGGGAGGUCCACGUGAAGUGACAAAGAAGUGCAUCUGGUGACGAGUGCGGGGAGCAGCCUGCACCCUUCAAACUUCCCCUUGGCUUUUUCUCAAGAUUUGUGUCGCACACUUACUGACUUCUCUGUCUCAAAAUAAUCUUUCAUUAGUAAUCAGUUUACUAAUGAACAACAUAUUUCAGAUUUUAUGUUUUUAGAUGUAUUAGUAAUACUCCUUGUGUCAAAUUCCACCUCUUCUCCUCGUCCCAUGGAGCCCUGAGACACUUACAGAGUCUGUGCAUCUUCCAUGGCUUCUCAGGCCCUGUGGGAAGCUCUGUGUCCUGCUGAGUGGCUUCCCUUGGAGCAGGCUGGGUUUAUUUCACGUGAGAUGUGCAUGGAGUGCGGCCCAUAUGUGGAAGCUUGCCUCUGGCCGUGCAGCAGAGUCGUUCUGCCUAUAGCAGCUGAGGUGCUCGAGGCCCAUCUCCCAGUGGACAGCAGCCUCAUACCCCUCACCAUUACCUUCCCCCUUAGAUGUGGCAGAACAACCCUUUCCUGCGUGCACUGCACCACUGCAGCCAGCGGAGUCGUUCCCCCUAGAGGCUGGUGCGGGAGUACAAAGUGUUGCUUUCUCCAUCACGCCUUUUGGGCUCCAAAGUUCCAAAUUAAUCUUCUUAAAAUUCUAAUUUCUUUAUUGUUUUUAUUAAAUACUUCUACCAAGCAAAAAACAUUUGUAACGUGAAUGAGCUAUAAUUAAUAAUAAUAAAAUACAUAGCAUGUCCCCACCACUGAACCUCAUAAAUAGAAUGUGUGACUUCAGCAAACUUGCCGUGGGCACAAAACAAGUAUGACCAAAAAACAUGGCAACAAAAAUGAAUUAUAUUUAAAUGCAACAUCUUUAAAAAUCAAAAUUAAUGUAAAAAAUCCAUGAUGAACAAGAUAUCGAAAUUUUAAAUACAGACAGGGUCAGCAUUACUGAGUUCUCCUUUUGCCUCUGGCUCCAGGAUGCCUUACUGUGGGACAGAACAACACCACAUACCCAUUCCUCAGGAUGCUCCCUGCUCUGAAGCCCCAGUGACUUCCUUCUGCCUGCUACAGCAUCUGCAGGGAGCCUCAUGUCCUCAGCGCUCUUCAACACACACGUUUCUAAUCAGGCUUUUCCCCCUUAGCAACUUGCCAACUGCUGCCUCUAUGACUUCUGUUUCCUGGUCCCCAACCCCCACUCUUUUCCCUCCGCCUAGACACAUCUGACCAUCUGUCAAGGCCGAACUCAAAUAUGACUUUCCCAUUAAGCCUUUCCAACUACCUUAACACCCCCACCAUUCCCCUGUACCCAUGAGCAGUGAUUAGCCCCCCCUCUGAAAUCCUGCCCCAGUUAUAACGUGUGUUCUUACUUAGCAUUCUCAGGGAUCACGCCUUAAGGUUUCAGGUGUGUCUGCCUUGUUCCUCUACUAGACUGUAUGUUCCUCAAGAGCAUGUUAUAAGUGUCUCAUAGCUGCCAGAGCACCAUUAUACUUGGCUUUGAGUAACUAUUGACUAUAACUGGUUAACUCAUGGAUUUGGUUGAUUAAAAAGUGAGAGUUGAAUAUAUUUGUUUCUGAUUUACUUUUUUGACAUAGGACUCUUUCCUCCAGAAGUAGUAAACAUAGUGCAUUUCCUUGUGUACGCAUUUCAUUGUAUCAGUUGAGAUUGGAGUUUAGCACCAUAUAUAAGCUCACAUAGACACACGCAGAUUUUUUGCUCCUAUUUCUGUAAGUUUUGCAAUUAAGGAGAAAGAAGCCUAUAUUAGUUGAAGUUGUAUUUCCCAGCUUCAAAUUUCCCUUGCCAGCCUACAGUAGGCUUAACCUGAAAACUGUGUGCUCUUACCUACUAAAAAUGAUUGUUCUUUAAUAGCAUUUAAAGUGAGUAAUUAAGACCUAUAUUCACAUCAACA